rnacentral:rRNA from 1 species
AGUCGUGCGCCUGGGUACUUGUGCCUGGUGGCCAGCGGCGUGAAGGGUGAUUAAUGCCUACGAAUCUGCCUGGUACUGUGGGAUAACGCUUGCAAUCGGACCCUGAUCCCGGAUGAGUCCUAACGGAGAAAGCAAGGGACCUUCGGGCCUUGCGCUAUAAGAUGAGCCUAAGUAGGAUUAGCUAGUUGGUGAGGUAAUGGCUCACCUGGGCGACGAUCCGUAACUGGUCUGAGAGGAUGAUCAGUCACACUGGAACUGAGACACGGCCCAGACUCCUACAGGAGGAACCCCUGGGAAAUAUUGGACAAUGGGGGAAAGCCUGAUCCAACCAUGCCGCGUGUGUGAAGAACGGCUUCGGAUUGCCAAGCGCUUUAAUUUGGGAGGAAAGGGGUUUACCUAAUACGUAAGUGUUUUGAGUUUAACCGAAAGAAUAAGCACCGGCUAACUCUGUGCCAGCAGCCGCGGUAAUACAGAGGGUGCAAGCGUUAAUCGGAAUUACUGGGCGUAAAGCGCGCGUAGGUGG